rnacentral:rRNA from 1 species
UACGAAGGGGGCUAGCGUUGCUCGGAAUCACUGGGCGUAAAGCGCACGUAGGCGGCUUUUUAAGUCAGGGGUGAAAUCCUGGAGCUCAACUCCAGAACUGCCUUUGAUACUGGAAAGCUUGAGUCCGGGAGAGGUGAGUGGAACUCCGAGUGUAGAGGUGAAAUUCGUAGAUAUUCGGAAGAACACCGGUGGCGAAGGCGGCCCACUGGAUCGGUACUGACGCUGAGGUGCGAAAGCGUGGGGAGCAAACAGG